GAGCCUUGUGAUGAUGUCAUAGCGAACUAUUCUUUCGCCUUUUACUAAAGAAUACCGUGUCAGUGUCACAUUUAUGGUCUGAGAUGAUUAAUUUAGUGCUGGUUUAUUUUAGUAU